CUGCCCCUUUCUGUUUGUCUCUUUGCCCUCGAUCUGAGGGGACAGGAUCCAAGUUCUACCCAUGGCUCCCAUUCUCAGCCACUCCUGCUCUGACCAGUGCACUUAAGGAAAAUGGGUGAAUGAAUGAAACAAACAAACAAAAGACGGGGUUCUCUUAGUAAGAGAAGAAGAGGGAGCCAUUGGGUCACCAACCGUCUCGCUCUGCUAUGGAAAGAGCCCGGGUAGUGUCAACAGUGCUUGCGAAGGAAGAGGUCAAAUUUAUCUGAAAUCACCACGACUGAUUACCAGGUGGCAGAAGCAAAAAGCAAGGACUCUGUGCUUCCUGUUGCUUCCCCAUGGAGUCUCAGCAUCAGGCAGUGUGGGAACGCAGGCAUCUCAUUUCCGAUGUGUUUGGCAGCUUCCAGAAAGUUUGAGUAGCACUUUAAAAACAUGAGAAAGUGAGAAGACGUGGACAGAAGGGACAGAAGUGUCACCCAAGUGCUGCGUUAAGGAGAGGGGUUGUGGGUGUGAAUCCUGGAAGGUGGAGUCUGAAGUCCAAGGAGGACUGUAGGAGAC
rnacentral:lncRNA from 1 species